AGGAUAAACGCUGGCGGCGUGCCUAACACAUGCAAGUCGAACGCGCUUUCGGGCUUCGGUGCGAGAGCGAGUGGCGGACGGGUGAGUAACACAUGGGUACCUACCUUGGAGUGAGGGAUACCGGCGAGAAAUCGCCGACAAUACCGCAUAGGCUUCUUCACAAGGGAAGCAAAGUGACGCGAGUCACGCUUUGAGAUGGGCCUGUGGCCGAUUAGCUAGUUGGGGGGUAACGGCUUCCCAAGGCGACGAUCGGUAGCUGGUCUGAGAGGACGAUCAGCCACACUGGGAUUGAGAACGGCCCAGACUCCUACGGGGGGCAGCAGUGAGGAAUUUUCCGCAAUGGAGGCAACUCUGACGGAGCAACGCCGCGUGCAGGAGGAAGGUUUUCGGAUCGUAAACUGCUUUUCGUCGGGACGAGCAAGGCGGUACCCGAGGAAGAAGCCCGGCUAACGUACGUGCCAGCAGCCGC
rnacentral:rRNA from 1 species